rnacentral:rRNA from 1 species
UACAGAGGUCUCAAGCGUUGUCCGGAGUUACUGGGCGUAAAGCGCACGCAGGCGGUCUCUUUAGUCUGUAGGGACAGGGCACAGCUUAACUGUGUCAGGCUUACGGAAACUGGGAGACUUGAGGGCUUCAGAGGGAUGGGGAAUUCCGGGUGGAGUGGUGAAAUGCGUAGAGAUCCGGAAGAACACCAAAGGCGAAGGCACCAUCCUGGGGAGUCACUGACGCUCGGGUGCGAAAGCCAGGGGAGCGAACGGG